rnacentral:rRNA from 1 species
CUAAAGAUGGCGACCGGCGCACGGGUGAGUAACACGUAUCCAACCUGCCGAUAACUCGGGGAUAGCCUUUCGAAAGAAAGAUUAAUAUCCGAUGGUAUAUUUUCUCCGCAUGGUGAGAAUAUUAAAGAAUUUCGGUUAUCGAUGGGGAUGCGUUCCAUUGGUUUGUUGGCGGGGUAACGGCCCACCAAGACCACGAUGGAUAGGGGUUCUGAGAGGAAGGUCCCCCACAUUGGAACUGAGACACGGUCCAA